GAUCAUUUUAGUUGGUUCAAAAUAUGUUGGAAGCAGACAGAAUAGCAAUAAUAAAGAAAUGAGCAUUUUAAUUUUUCUUUUCCUACACAUAGCUGGCCUCAUUUUCAAUUUAUGAAGAAUGAAUUUAAAAAAUAUGUAAUUAAUGAAAAUGAAAUAAAAAAGGAAGGUGUCUAUUCAUAAACAAAGGGAUUAUAUUUAUUAGUGUGAAUUUGUGCUACAUUAAA